UACGUAGGGGGCAAGCGUUGUCCGGAUUUAUUGGGCGUAAAGAGCGUGUAGGCGGUUUGGUAGGUCCGUUGUGAAAACUCGAGGCUCAACCUCGAGACGCCGGCGGAAACCAUCAGGCUAGAGUCCGGAAGAGGAGAGUGGAAUUCCUGGUGUAGCGGUGAAAAGCGCAGAUAUCAGGAGGAACACCGAUGGCGAAGGCAGGUCUCUGGGCCACUACUGACGCUGAGAAGCGAAAGCAUGGGGAGCAAACAGG
rnacentral:rRNA from 1 species